CAAAUCAAGGUGAAAAGCGCUUAUCCAAAAAAGCCGGAGCGAACAUCGCGAUUCUCGUCGCCAUUCCACGCACCUGUGUUCAUGGAUUCGCGUUUACAAUAACAACAUCACGCUUCAUAUCAGAGCAUCGCGCUCAUCACUAUAGCUCAUGGAUUCGUGUUCUUGGAUUUAUUUCGACAUCAUUCAUGGAAGUUCGUAAAACCGAGGCGAGACUCAGAUCGAAACGAGAAAUGACUCACCGAAUUUCCAAGAACAUGUACGAUUUCCUUGUCCUUCCUUCGCUUCGUAUUCUCCUCGCUGUCUCUGAAAACCUAGGGUUUUUCGUGGUCGCCUCCAAAAUUAGGUUUUUUCUCCUCCUCUACAGUAUUCGUUUCGCCCCUUUUUAUAUCAACAACUUAGGGUUUUAGGUUGGCUUAUGGAGAUCCAGAAGGGGUUUCUGCGAAAUCCCUUUAGGGUUGUCAGAUUUUGGUCGCCCUAUUUGAUUGUUAAAUUCGGAAGAGUGAAAACUAGAACCUUCAUGAGUGGUUUACAAAUUUCUUCUUCUACUUUGUGAUACAGACUAUAGCACAGCGUUUCUGAAUCAUCACAGCAAGAGAUAUGCAGCUUUAAAAGUAAUGUGCUUUGAAAAAAGGUGUUUUUGUUAUGGAAAUCCUAGGGUGGAGUUCUAGUGUGGAUGAAGCUCUUAGAUCCGCUUCUGGUUCGGUUGAGGAUGUGAAACUGUUUUGCUGUGAUCAAACUCAGGUUAACCAUUUGCCUUGGAAGUUAUGUUAGAGGCUGCUAUGGAGUUUUAGGUUUUGUAUGGAGGUUAACCAACCAAUUAGUAAGGGCGGAUUCAGGUUGUGGCUUUGAAUCAUGCUGUUGGAGGUUAGGUGGAUAUCAUUUGGGUUGAAAUUCGUUGGACAGUUGGAAGUUCGGUUGGAAUUUGUUAUGAUUCUAUUCUGAAUUCAGUUGAAAUUUGGAAAUUCGGUUAGAUGUUGGUUUUUACUAAAGUUCUAUUAGUGAAGUGAUUUAGAAAAUGUUGUUAGAUAGUGAAUUAUUCUUUUGUGCAGUUAGUGAAAAUGUUGUUAUGAAUAUUGUUAAUUCUGUUAGAUGUUGAAUGUUGUUAGUUCAAUUGAUUAUAAUGCUUUUAAUCGAAACUGAUGGAAAUAUGUUAUAUUAGCUAAUGUGAAGUGAAAAAUCAGAAUUGAAACGAACAUUGUAUUUCUUACCAA